GACGAACGCUGGCGGCGUGCCUAAUACAUGCAAGUCGAGCGGAUGAAAGAGGAGCUUGCUCCUCUAGAUUCAGCGGCGGACAGGUGAGUAACACGUGGGCAACCUGCCCUGUAGAUUGGGAUAACUCCGGGAAACCGGGGCUAAUACCGAAUAAUCCUUCGGACCUCAUGGUCCGAUGUUGAAAGACGGUUUCGGCUGUCACUACAGGAUGGGCCCGCGGAGCAUUAGCUAGUUGGUGAGGUAACGGCUCACCAAGGCCACGAUGCGUAGCCGACCUGGGAGGGUGAGCGGCCACACUGGGACUGAGACACGGCCCAGACUCAUACGGGAGGCAGCAGUAGGGAAUCUUCCACAAUGGACGAAAGUCUGAUGGAGCAACGCCGCGUGAGUGAAGAAGGUUCUCGGAUCGUAAAACUCUGUUGUGAGGGAAGAACAAGUACCGGAGUAACUGCCGGUGCCUUGACGGUACCUCAUUAGAAAGCCACGGCUAACUACGUGCCAGCCGCCGCCGUAA
rnacentral:rRNA from 1 species